rnacentral:rRNA from 1 species
UGGGGAAUCUUGCGCAAUGGUCGGAAGACUGACGCAGCGACGCCGCGUGUGGGAGGACGCCUUUCGGGGUGUAAACCACUGUUGCCCGGGACGAACUGGCGGUUUCGACCGCCCUGACGGUACCGGGUGAGGAAGCACCGGCUAACUCCGUGCCAGCAGCCGCGGUAAUACGGAGGGUGCGAGCGUUGUCCGGAAUCAUUGGGCGUAAAGGGCGCGUAGGUGGCCCGGUCAGUCUUUGGUGAAAGCGCGGGGCUCAACCCUGCGUCGGCCAGGGAUACUGCCGCGGCUGGAGCACUGUAGAGGCAGGCGGAAUUCCGGGUGUAGCGGUGGAAAUGCGUAGAGAUCCGGAAGAACACCGGUGGCGAAGGCGGCCUGCUGGGCAGUUGCUGACACUGAGGCGCGACAGCGUGGGGAGCAAAACA